UAGGCUUAGAUUUGUAAGCCGCUUUGGAUAAAAGCAUCUGCUAAAUGGCAUAUA
rfam:Salmo salar isolate Sally breed double haploid chromosome ssa25, whole genome shotgun sequence.